AUUGAACGCUGGCGGCAGGCCUAACACAUGCAAGUCGAGCGGAGCGGCGGACGGGUGAGGAAUGCCUAGGAAUCUGACUGGUAGUGGGGGAUAACGUCCGGAAACGGGCGCUAAUACCGCAUACUAUCAGAUGAGACUAGGUCGGAUUAGCUAGUUGGAGGGGUAAAGGCCUACCAAGGCGCCGAUCCGUAACUGGUCUGAGAGGAUGAUCAGUCACACUGGAACUUAUACACGUUCCAGACUCCUACGGGAGGCAUCAGUGGGGAAUAUUGGCCAAUGGGCGAAAGCCUGAUCCAGCCAUGCCGCGUGUGUGAAGAAGGUCUUCGGAUUGUAAAGCACUUUAAGUUGGGAGGCGUUACCAACAGAAUCAGCACCGGCUAACUUCGUGCCAGCAGCCGCGGUAAUUC
rnacentral:rRNA from 1 species